CUCGCGAAAAUAUUACCUUUCGAGAAUUAUCCUUGGAAAGCAUGAACAAAAAAUUAUUUAUAUCGGUCAAUUUUUUAAGACGAAAGGAAAUUCUACGAUUAAUAAUUCCACUUCCCUUGGCUAACAACAUUUGCGGCUUGAGAAUUCUACCAUCGUUCCGUGCUUUGUACCGAUAAAAAGCGAGAUACGCUUCGGUUUAUGAAGGAGAAAGGAAGAUAGAGAGCUAAUGAAAGUUGCGAGCAUCGUGGAAGGAAGAGUUAUGAUUGUGGCGGAGCUCCGAUUUCAUGAAAUUUUGCCGAAGUUUUGACGAUACAGGACACGCAAAAUUGGGCGAAAUUCGAGACCAAUCUGACCGGUUCAUCGAGCUAUUGGAUGCGAAACAGAAA
rnacentral:lncRNA from 1 species